UACAGAGGGGGCAAGCGUUUGUUCGGAAUUACUGGGCGUAAAGCGCGCGUAGGCGGCUACUUAAGUCGGAUGUGAAAGCCCUUGGCUCAACUGAGGAAGUGCACCCGAAACUGAGUGGCUAGAGUACGAAAGAGGGUCGCGGAAUUCCCGGUGUAGAGGUGAAAUGCGUAGAGAUCGGCAGGAACACCCAGGGGGGAAACCAGUCGACUGGGCAUCUACUGACGCUGAGGUGCGAGAGCGUGGGGAGCGAACCGG
rnacentral:rRNA from 1 species